rnacentral:rRNA from 1 species
UUUCCUACGGGGGGCAGCAGUAGGGAAUUUUCGUCAAUGGGCGCAAGCCUGAACGAGCAAUGCCGCGUGAACGAGGAAGGUCUUCGGAUCGUAAAGUUCUGUUGAAGGGGAAAAAGAGCGGAGAGAGGAAAUGCUUUCUGAUUGAUAUUACCCUUCGAGGAAGCCACGGCUAACUACGUGCCAGCAGCCGCGGUAAUACGUAGGUGGCGAGCGUUAUCCGGAUUUAUUGGGUUUAAAGGGUGCGCAGGCGGAAGAUCAAGUCAGCGGUAAAAUUGAGAGGCUCAACCUCUUCGAGCCGUUGAACC